rnacentral:rRNA from 1 species
GACGAACGCUGGCGGCGUGCUUAACACAUGCAAGUCGAACGGGCCCGCCCCUGUUUUUGGGGGUGGGUUGAGUGGCGAACGGGUGAGUAUCACGUGAGUAACCUGCCCCCUGCUCCUGGAUAACUGCUUGAAAGGGCGGCUAAUACGGGGUGUGCCGGCUGGUCCGCAUGGGCCUGGUCGGGAUAGUUUCAUCUUCGGGUGUUUCGGUGGGGGAUGGGCUCGCGGCCUAUCAGCUUGUUGGUGGGGUGAUGGCCCACCAAGGCGGUGACGGGUAGCCGGCCUGAGAGGGUGGGCGGCCACACGGGGACUGAGACACGGCCCAGACUCCGGCGGGAGGCAGCAGGGGGGGGUAUUGCACAAUGGGCGGAAGCCUGAUGCAGCGACGUCGCGUGAGGGAUGGAGGCCUUCGGGUUGUGAACCUCUUUCUCCGGUGGUGAAGGCCCUGUCCGUUGCGGCGGGGUUGACGGUAGCCGGGGAUGAAGCGCCGGCUAACUACGUG